rnacentral:rRNA from 1 species
GGAUUCCCCUAGUAACUGCGAGUGAAGCGGGAAAAGCUCAAAUUUAAAAUCUGGCAGUGGUUCACUGCCCGAGUUGUAAUCUAGAGAAGUGUUGCUCACACUGGACCAUGUAUAAGUCUUCUGGAAUGAAGCGUCAUAGAGGGUGAGAAUCCCGUCUUUGACAUGGACUCCCAGUGUAUUUGUAGCAUGCUCUCAAAGAGUCGAGUUGUUUGGGAAUGCAGCUCUAAAUGGGUGGUAACCUCCAUCUAAAGCUAAAUAUUGGCGAGAGACCGAUAGUGAACAAGUACCGUGAGGGAAAGAUGAAAAGAACUUUGGAAAGAGAGUUAAAAAGUACGUGAAAUUGUUGAAAGGGAAACGCUUGAAGUCAGUCACAUUGGCCAGGGAUCAACCCAAGCUUUUGAGUGUACUUCCUGGCUGAUGGGCCAACAUCAGCUUUGACUGUCAGAGAAGGGUAGGGGGAAUGUGGCACCCUUCUUGGGUGUGUUAUAGCCCUCUGUCAUAUAUGGCCGUUGGGGCUGAGGAAUGCAGCGCGCCACAAGGCCGGGCUUCGACCACGUUCGCGCUUAGGAUGUUGGCAUAAUGGCUUUAAUCGACCCGUCUUGAAACACGGACCAAGGAGUCUAACAUGCCUGCGAGUGUUUGGGUGGAAAACCCGAGCGCAUAAUGAAAGUGAAAGUUGAGAUCCCUGUCAUGGGGUGCAUCGACGCCCGGACCUGAGCUUUCUAGCAAUGGCUCUGCGGUAUAGCAUGUAUGUUGGGACCCGAAAGAUGGUGAACUAUGCCUGAAUAGGGCGAAGCCAGAGGAAACUCUGGUGGAGGCUCGUAGCGAUUCUGACGUGCAAAUCGAUCGUCGAAUUUGGGUAUAGGG